GCAAAGGAUUUUUUAAAAUCUAUUCCUAAAGAUUUAAAGAAUAUCU
rfam:Struthio camelus australis contig42647, whole genome shotgun sequence.